GCAAAAGCAAAGAAGGGAGGAGAAGCCUCUAUAGGAGCUGUUUCGGGUUGCAUUAUCCUAAUAUUGUUUCUACUGUGUGAGAGGACAAACAUAAUACAACCAAUCCUGGGCAAGGAGAAAGAAACUCCUGCCAUUCUUAAAUGGAGUCUUGUGGAACUCCACACAAGAUUCAACCAAAUAAAGGACUUGAAUGACAUCGAGGGUAUUUUCAAAACUCUUAAAAAGCGAAAAACUACCAGGGAAGAGGAAGAC